UACGUAGGGUGCGAGCGUUGUCCGGAAUUAUUGGGCGUAAAGAGCUCGUAGGCGGUGUGUCACGUCGGCCGUGAAAACCUGGGGCUUAACUCUGGGCGUGCGGUCGAUACGGGCAUCACUGGAGUUCGGCAGGGGAGACUGGAAUUCCUGGUGUAGCGGUGAAAUGCGCAGAUAUCAGGAGGAACACCGGUGGCGAAGGCGGGUCUCUGGGCCGAUACUGACGC
rnacentral:rRNA from 1 species